rnacentral:tRNA from 1 species
GUCUUUGUGGUGUAAUGGUCAGCACAUUCGGCGCGUACCUUGAGGUCCGAGGUUCGAAUCCCGGCGAGGGCA